rnacentral:rRNA from 1 species
AGCGAACGCUGGCGGCAGGCUUAACACAUGCAAGUCGAGCGGGCACUUUCGGGUGUCAGCGGCGGACGGGUGCGUAACGCGUGGGAACGUGCCCUCUGGUUCGGAAUAACUCAGGGAAACUUGAGCUAAUACCGGAUACGCCCUUUUGGGGAAAGGCUUGCUGCCGGAGGAUCGGCCCGCGUCUGAUUAGCUAGUUGGUGAGGUAACUGCUCACCAAGGCGACGAUCAGUAGCUGGUCUGAGAGGAUGAUCAGCCACACUGGGACUGAGACACGGCCCAGACUCCUACGGGAGGCAGCAGUGGGGAAUAUUGGACAAGGGGCGCAAGCCUGAUCCAGCCAUGCCGCGUGAGUGAUGAAGGCCUUAGGGUUGUAAAGCUCUUUUAUCCGGGACGAUAAUGACGGUACCGGAGGAAUAAGCCCCGGCUAACUUCGUG